AGAGUUUGAUCAUGGCUCAGAUUGAACGCUGGCGGCAGGCCUAACACAUGCAAGUCGAACGGUAGCAGGAUGUGCUUGCACAUCGCUGACGAGUGGCGGACGGGUGAGUAAUGCUUGGGAACUUGCCUUUGCGAGGGGGAUAACAGUUGGAAACGACUGCUAAUACCGCAUAANGUCUACGGACCAAACGGGGCUUUUAGCUCCGGCGCAAAGAGAGGCCCAAGUGAGAUUAGCUAGUUGGUGAGGUAAAGGCUCACCAAGGCGACGAUCUCUAGCUGUUCUGAGAGGAAGAUCAGCCACACUGGGACUGAGACACGGCCCAGACUCCUACGGGAGGCAGCAGUGGGGAAUAUUGCACAAUGGGGGAAACCCUGAUGCAGCCAUGCCGCGUGUGUGAAGAAGGCCUUCGGGUUGUAAAGCACUUUCAGUUGUGAGGAAAGGUUGGUAGUUAAUACCUGCCAGCUGUGACGUUAACAACAGAAGAAGCACCGGCUAACUCCGUGCCAGCAGCCGCGGUAAUACGGAGGGUGCGAGCGUUAAUCGGAAUUACUGGGCGUAAAGCGCACGCAGGCGGUUUGUUAAGCUAGAUGUGAAAGCCCCGGGCUCAACCUGGGAUGGUCAUUUAGAACUGGCAGACUAGAGUCUUGGAGAGGGGAGUGGAAUUCCAGGUGUAGCGGUGAAAUGCGUAGAUAUCUGGAGGAACAUCAGUGGCGAAGGCGACUCCCUGGCCAAAGACUGACGCUCAUGUGCGAAAGUGUGGGUAGCGAACAGGAUUAGAUACCCUGGUAGUCCACACCGUAAACGCUGU
rnacentral:rRNA from 1 species